rnacentral:tRNA from 1 species
AAAGAAUUAGUUAAAUUUAACCUUAGUAUGUCAUGCUAAAAUUACUGGUCUCAACCCAGUAUUCUUUG